AACGAACGCUGGCGGCAGGCCUAACACAUGCAAGUCGAACGCUGUAGCAAUACAGAGUGGCAGACGGGUGAGUAACGCGUGGGAACAUGCCCUUCGGUUCGGAAUAACUCAGGGAAACUUGAGCUAAUACCGGAUACGCCCUUAGGGGGAAAGAUUUAUUGCCGAAGGAUUGGCCCGCGUCCGAUUAGCUAGUUGGUGAGGUAACGGCUCACCAAGGCGACGAUCGGUAGCUGGUCUGAGAGGAUGAUCAGCCACACUGGGACUGAGACACGGCCCAGACUCCUACGGGAGGCAGCAGUGGGGAAUAUUGGACAAUGGGCGCAAGCCUGAUCCAGCCAUGCCGCGUGAGUGAUGAAGGCCCUAGGGUUGUAAAGCUCUUUCGCCAGGGACGAUAAUGACGGUACCUGGAUAAGAAGCCCCGGCUAACUUCGUGCCAGCAGCCGCCGCAGUAA
rnacentral:rRNA from 1 species